ACCUCCGGUCGCAGUUAAUAUCUAGCAAGCAUUCAGCAAACAUUACAAUAGUCGUUGCUAUUUCUGAGUCAAAAAGUGAUAUUAUAUUAUCAAGUAUGAAGUUCUUCUGGGCACUUCUUUUCAUUCUUUCUGCAUUGAUGUAUGGCACCAGUGCUCAAGGUUAUGGAUAUGGAAGAGGUAACAUGGGAAGAGGUAAUAUGGGAAGAGGUAACAUGGGAUAUGGAAACCGUGGUAUGGGCAGAGGAUAUGGAUCACAAAUGGGUGGAUAUCCUGGUUACAUGGGUGGCCGUGGUGGUGGAAUGUAUGGAUACAUAUAAUACUUCAACAAAACGACUCUUUCCAUCCUCCUAUUAACAGAAACAAUAAAUAUAAAAAAUUGCUCAUUAAAAGUAUUAUGUGAAAUGAUCAUUAAAAUUGAAUAAAAUGAACUCUAUAUGAAUAA